rnacentral:misc_RNA from 1 species
AACGCACAUUGCGCCCCUUGGUAUUCCGAGGGGCAUGCCUGUUCGAGCGUCAUUUCAACCCUCAAGCUCUGCUUGGUAUUGGGCCCUGCCGCUGGGCAGGCCUUAAAAUCAGUGGCGGUGCCGUCGCGGCUCCAAGCGUAGUACAUCUCUCGCUCUGGAGGCCCGGUGGUGUCUUGCCAGACAACCCCCAAUUGUCUUCUAUGGUUGACCUCGGAUCAGGUAGGGAUACCCGCUGAACUUAA